GACGAACGCUGGCGGCGUGCUUAACACAUGCAAGUCGAACGGAAAGGCCCUGCUUUUGUGGGGUGCUCGAGUGGCGAACGGGUGAGUAACACGUGAGUAACCUGCCCUUGACUUUGGGAUAACUUCAGGAAACUGGGGCUAAUACCGGAUAGGAGCUCCUGCUGCAUGGUGGGGGUUGGAAAGUUUCGGCGGUUGGGGAUGGACUCGCGGGUUAUCAGCUUGUUGGGGGGGUAGUGGCUUACCAAGGCUUUGACGGGUAGCCGGCAUGAGAGGGUGACCGGCGACAUUGGGACUGAGAUACGGCCCAGACUCCUACGGGAGGCAGCAGGGGGGAAUAUUGCACAAUGGGCGGACGCCUGAUGCAGCAACGCCGCGUGCGGGAUGACGGCCUUCGGGUUGUAAACCGCUUUCGCCUGUGACGAAGCGUGAGUGACGGUAAUGGGUAAAGAAGCACCGGCUAACUACGUG
rnacentral:rRNA from 1 species